GAUGAACGCUGGCGGCGUGCCUAAUACAUGCAAGUCGAGCGAACAGACGAGGAGCUUGCUCCUCUGACGUUAGCGGCGGAGGGGUGAGUAACACGUGGAUAACCUACCUAUAAGACUGGGAUAACUUCGGGAAACCGGAGCUAAUACCGGAUAAUAUAUUGAACCGCAUGGUUCAAUAGUGAAAGACGGUUUUGCUGUCACUUAUAGAUGGAUCCGCGCCGCAUUAGCUAGUUGGUAAGGUAACGGCUUACCAAGGCAACGAUGCGUAGCCGACCUGAGAGGGUGAUCGGCCACACUGGAACUGAGACACGGUCCAGACUCCUACGGGAGGCAGCAGUGGGGAAUCUUCCGCAAUGGGCGAAAGCCUGACGGAGCAACGCCGCGUGAGUGAUGAAGGUCUUCGGAUCGUAAAACUCUGUUAGUGGGGAAGAACAAAUGUGUAAGUAACUAUGCACGUCUUGACGGUACCUAAUCAGAAAGCCACGGCUAACUACGUG
rnacentral:rRNA from 1 species